ensembl:lncRNA
CACCUAUGGUAAUCGCUGCCGGGAGAGUUCUAAAGGUUUAGUGGCCAGGUGGUCUUCUUUAUGGACUCAGCGAGGACCGGAAGACUCGGAGAGAAACCGGUGUGACGUAAUCCUCGGUUUUCCUCGCCUGGUCUGUGAUGCUGCCCUCUGUGGCUAAAGUAUCUAUUGUAGCCUUCAGUAAUGUCCUGCUUUCCCUUGUGGCUAUGUGUAGUAUUUACGGCUUAUAUAUUUGGUCCUACCCCCUAUUGGUUAAGUGAGGGAAAUACAGCUUGUGUUCCUAAAAUACGUAACAGUCCCUCCUUGGUCAUCUUAGAUGACCAUACAAUAAUAUUUUAAAUUAUAAACACCAUUUACCACACCGAAAACAUAGUCAAAGUAGAAUCUAUCAUCAACACCAUCAACCGUCGUGGAAGAACCUCUUGAAGAGAGGGGAAAAACCACUACGCGUCCCCAUAAUACUGAGACGGCAUUCACGUUGUGGGUCUUGUUGAAAAUACAGGUCAUUAUUUAACAAUACAACAAUGAACAUGAAUCUUGUUAUCAUACAAUCACAUGGCCAAACAGCACACAAACAAAACUAUCAAUAGAAAUCCUGAGCUAAUACUUUUGGUCAUGUGCUACAAGGUCAUAAAAUAUUCAACAGGUGCGAAAGUAACGUAAAAAUUGAUGGUCAUAACACAAUUUUAAAAUUUCAAAAUGAUUGAUAGACUAAAAUGGAUUUGGGGGGUUCAGGUGAUCUUCGUGUAUUGGUGCGCCGGUUCAUGUGGGUGGUUUGGGCAUGGAUUUGGGGAGUUCAAGUGAUCUUUCUGUCGCCGUCGGGUCUGUAAUUCAUGAACCCAAGACUCGUCCCUCCUUGUCAAGGGCUCAUCUCAGAGAGGUUACUCCUACACCAUGGGAGCCUCCUCACAAGUUCUCCGUCGUCGUGUCAGCAACAGGUGGCCUGUAAAACAAUCGUCUCAAGGAAGAUCAACAGUACCAUUAUCAAUGCAGCGAUUCAGAAAUAACGAGUUGUACUGCAACCAAACAAUACUAUAUUAUAACAAACACAACUCGUCUUGGUGGUUCAAUAAUUAAUUAUUCAAGUAAAUCCAGGAUAUUGAUUAUCUUAGACACAGGUGCCACAAAUGGUGGCAUUUUAUUCUAUAUAUUGUAACUGGAUAGGUUCGGGUUCCUCAGGUGGUAUGUCAUUUAAGUUCAACUGAUUAUAUCUGAUUCCUACGUAAGCAUGAAUGUCGCCUGGCACUUGUGUAGCGCCCACUGCUGUGGUGAUCAGCC